rnacentral:rRNA from 1 species
UACGGAGGAUGCAAGCGUUAUCCGGAAUGAUUGGGCGUAAAGCGUCCGCAGGUGGCAAUGUAAGUCUGCUGUCAAAGCGUCUGGCUCAACCAGAUAAAGGCAGUGGAAACUACAUAGCUAGAGUAAGGUAGGGGUAGAGGGAAUUCCUGGUGUAGCGGUGAAAUGCGUAGAGAUCAGGAAGAACACCGGUGGCGAAAAGCGCUCUGCUGGACCUUAACUGACACUGAGGGACGAAAGCUAGGGGAGCGAAUGGG